rnacentral:misc_RNA from 1 species
GGGUGGCGGAGGAGCCCCCCGCCAGGUACCCCCUGUACCGGCUGGGUGGCCCACAACUUCGGGUGUUCCGAACCAACUUCUUCAUUCAGCUGGUGCGGCCCGGUGUGGCCCAGCCCGAGGACACCGUGCAGUUCCGGAUCCCCAUGGAAAUGACAAGGGUGGACCUCAGGAAUUACCUCGAGGGCAUCUAUAACGUGCCCGUGGCUGCUGUGCGGACACGGGUGCAGCAUGGCUCUAACAAGAGAAGAGAUCACAGAAACGUGAGGAUCAAGAAGCCGGACUACAAGGUCGCCUACGUGCAGCUGGCCCAUGGACAGACCUUCACGUUCCCAGAUCUGUUUCCCGAGAAAGACGAGAGCCCUGAAGGCAGCGCUGCCGACGACCUCUACAGCAUGCUCGAGGAGGAGAGGCAGCAGAGGCAGAGCAGCGACCCGCGGCGGGGCGGCGUCCCCAGCUGGUUCGGGCUGUGACGGGGUGGCCAGCAGGGACGCGCCCCAGGUGGGCAGCUGUGGCAGAGCAGCGACCCGCGGCGGGGCGGCAUCCCCAGCUGGUUCGGGCCGUGACGGGGCGGCCAGCAGGGACGCGCCCCAGGUGGGCAGCUGUGGCAGAGCAGUCCCGACACCUAAAUAAAAGUCUUGCUGCAGGAGAAAGAGCCGGAA